rnacentral:rRNA from 1 species
AACGAACGCUGGCGGCAGGCUUAACACAUGCAAGUCGAGCGAGACCUUCGGGUCUAGCGGCGGACGGGCGAGUAACGCGUGGGAACGUGCCCUUCUCUACGGAAUAGCCCCGGGAAACUGGGAGUAAUACCGUAUACGCCCUUUGGGGGAAAGAUUUAUCGGAGAAGGAUCGGCCCGCGUUGGAUUAGGUAGUUGGUGGGGUAAUGGCCCACCAAGCCGACGAUCCAUAGCUGGUUUGAGAGGAUGAUCAGCCACACUGGGACUGAGACACGGCCCAGACUCCUACGGGAGGCAGCAGUGGGGAAUCUUAGACAAUGGGGGCAACCCUGAUCUAGCCAUGCCGCGUGAGUGAUGAAGGCCUUAGGGUUGUAAAGCUCUUUCAGCUGGGAAGAUAAUGACGGUACCAGCAGAAGAAGCCCCGGCUAACUCCGUG